GUUUUAAUAGUUUAAAUAAAAAUAAUGAUCUUGUAAAUCAUUGAUAGACACUAAAUCUUUAAAACU
rnacentral:tRNA from 1 species